rnacentral:rRNA from 1 species
ACCCGCACAAGCGGUGGAUGAUGUGGUUUAAUUCGAUGCAACGCGAAAACCUUACCCACCUUUGACAUGUACGGAAGUUGCCAGAGAUGGCUUCGUGCUCGAAAGAGAGCCGUAACACAGGUGCUGCAUGGCCGUCGUCAGCUCGUGUCGUGAGAUGUUGGGUUAAGUCCCGCAACCGAGCGCAACCCUUACCCUUAGUGUUUCCCGAAAGGAUUUACCCUCUAAGGGGACUGCCCCGGACAACGGGGAGGAAGGUGGGGAUGACGUCAAGUCCGCAUGCUCCUUACGUCUAGGGCUACACACGUCCUACAAUGGGGUCGACAGUGGGAUGCAAAGCCGCGAGGUGGAGCCAAUCCCCAAACGGCCUCUCAGUUCGGAUAGUAGUCUGCAACUCGACUACUUGAAGUCGGAAUCGCUAGUAAUGGCGGAUCAGCAUGCCGCCGUGAAUACGUUCCCGGGUCUU